rnacentral:rRNA from 1 species
UACAGAGGGUGCGAGCGUUGUCCGGAAUCACUGGGCGUAAAGGGCGCGUAGGUGGCGCCGCAAGUCCAUGGUGAAAGCUCGAUGCUCAACAUCGAGUCGGCCACGGAGACUGCGGGGCUCGAGCACUGUAGGGGCAGAUGGAAUUCCGGGUGUAGCGGUGGAAUGCGUAGAGAUCGGGAAGAACAUCAGUGGCGAAGGCGGUCUGCUGGGCCGUUGCUGACGCUGAGGCGCGACAGCGUGGGGAGCAAACAGG